rnacentral:rRNA from 1 species
AUGGGCCGCGGGAGGGUGGAGAUCAGGCGGAUCGCCAACGACGUCUCGCGGCGGGCCACCUUCGGCAAGCGCAGCGCCGGGCUGCUCAAGAAGGCGCGGGAGCUCGCCGUGCUCUGCGACGUCGACCUCGGCGUCCUCGUCUUCGACGGCGCCGGCAGCGGCAGGCACGCCCACUACUGCAGCCCCAACACCAGCUGGACCGAGCUAAUUCAGCGCUACGACAGCAUCACCAACGACCAGUUGCAGGGGAAUGAGGGCACAAAUCAUCAUGAUCAUCAGCAACUGUUGACGGAUAUCGCAAGGUUGAGGCGAGAGCAUGACCAUCUCGAGGCCACCCUGCAGAGGCACACCGGAGAAGACCUGCCAUCGGGCGCGACCGCGGCGGAGCUCCGUGAUCUGGAGCAGCGGCUAGAAUGCGCGUUGGAUAAAGUCCGUGAAAUGAAGGAUAAACUGAUGGAGGAGCAGUUGGACGAAUCACACAACAGGAUGCACAUCCUGGAGGAGCAGAACAGCUUCCUUCGCCACAUGAUGAGUGAGGAGGGGCGGCAACGUGCUGCCGUGGAGGCGUCGGCGGUGGUGGCGGAGCUCAUGGCGCCGAUACAGCCGGCGACGCUGUUCGGGGGCUUCUUCCCGGAGGUGGAGGAGGAGGCAGUGACUUCGCUGCGGCUGUGGCCGUAG